rnacentral:lncRNA from 1 species
UGUACAUGAAUUAUGAAUUAAUAAAAAUUAUUUUGAUAUUUUUCAUCAUAAAAUAUUUUAUCUUCUAAUGAACUCCUAUGUUGUGGUGAAGUCCUUAGGACUAUUUAGACUCGACAAAGGAGGAUUUAUCGUUUAGUCCUUAAAUCUGUUCGCGACCAAAUGAUACGUUGUUACCAAGGACGAUAAUGUUUAUCAAGCAUAGGUCAUUGUGUGCC